AAUAGAGCAAGCUAUGGAUCUGGUGAAAAGCCAUUUGAUAUAUGCAGUUAGAGAGGAAGUAGAGGUUCUGAAGGAAAAGAUCAAAAAAACUAAUAUAGAAAAACUCCCAGCUGGAGCAGGACAACAAGCUAUUGAAGACACUGGCCAGUCCAGAGCAGCUUGCCCACUUUCAGGCCCAGCUGCAGACUGGCUCCUCUCUGGCCACCACAAAGGCACAGGCAACCACACAGCCCCC
rnacentral:lncRNA from 1 species